GUGCUCAGUUCAAAGCACAUAUACUAAAAUUGGAACAGUACGGAGAUUAGCAUGGCCUCUGCACAAGGAUGACACGCAAAUUUGUGGAACAUUCCAUAUUUUU
ensembl:snRNA U6 U6 spliceosomal RNA